rnacentral:rRNA from 1 species
UUUAAUUGGAGAGUUUGAUCCUGGCUCAGAAUGAACGCUGGCGGCGUGCUUAACACAUGCAAGUCGCACGAGAACUCUUUAGCUUGCUAAAGAUAGUAAAGUGGCGCACGGGUGAGUAUCGCGU